rnacentral:tmRNA from 1 species
AUUUAGCAUACGCUGCCUAAGGGCAGCUGUCCGCCUUAGUGCACCUGCACAUUAAGAACCGGGCAUCGACGAUGCAGGAAACGACACUGGCAAAGCUUUGAGCCUGUGGGCGUAUGAUGAAGCUACCAAACGUAUCGGGGCGUCUGCUUCCUGAUACGGGAGGGAAUGAGGAGCAAUCCGCAACGGCAGACUAUGAUAGUAGAAGGACAGGGAAUGGGCUUUUGGACACGGGUUCGACUCCCGUCUGGUCCAUUU